rnacentral:rRNA from 1 species
GACGAACCUACACAAACGUUAUUCGGAAUUACUGGGCUUAAAGGGUGCGUAGGCGGCGCGGAAAGUUGGGUGUGAAAUCCCUCGGCUCAACCGAGGAACUGCGCCCAAAACUACCGUGCUUGAGGGAGAUAGAGGUGAGCGGAACUUAGGGUGGAGCGGUGAAAUGCGUUGAUAUCCUAAGGAACACCCGUGGCGAAAGCGGCUCACUGGGGUCUCUUCUGACGCUGAGGCACGAAAGCUAGGGUAGCGAACGGG